CAGUGUUACAGCUCUUUUAGAAUUUGUCUAGUAGGCUUUCUGGUUUGUUUACUGGAAAGCCCCU
rfam:Pan troglodytes isolate Yerkes chimp pedigree #C0471 (Clint) chromosome 12, whole genome shotgun sequence.